rnacentral:lncRNA from 1 species
AUAAUUCUUUGGAAAGAUUGAAUUUCUCAGUUUAAAUGCUGCAAGGUAUUGUAAAUCAUUCUAUACAAUACCAUGAACUCAUGAACUCAGGUUGAAUCCUCUUAUAUCUUGAACUCGUGAUCUUCUGUUAUAUCAUUUCAGAACUAUCAUUGUUUAUUAUUACUUGCUGAGCAUUGUUGCUCACCCUUGCUAUUCCUUUCUAACCAUUUCAGAAAGGCUUAAAGAUGAGAUGAUUGAUUGAGAUUGUGAAUAAGGCUAAUGCUAGGCGAGGAGACAGAGUUGAGAAUCCAGUGGUCGAGGAGUGUUCAGGAAAGUUGAUGAGGUUGGUGCAAGCUAGAGUUGAGCUAUGGAAAUUCAGAUGUAAGUCAUAGCUGGAAUAGAUUGACAGUGAUUCUUCUUAUCGAAGAUGAUCUGAUUUGGUAAGAGAUGUUGUGUAAUAAUAGUGGUUGAUUCUAAUUUCAAUACUGUAACCUGGAAGCGAUCCUGUUGGUUUGGGGGUGAAGAUGUUCUCUUUUAAAUCUUUUAUUUAACGUCUUUCAAAUCUUUUAUUAAAUGUUUUCAAGUUUUAAAUUAUUUGGAUUCAUUAUCUUUUAAAAAAAAAAUAAAAAAAUACAGGAUUUCAAAAGUGUUUAAAAAUGGGUUUUUAUGUGGUGACGUCAGAAUCCAGACCCCCGGAUUCUCGGACCGUCACAGUUGGUAUCAGAGCAACAGGUUACAAGUUAUUGAAAUUUGAAUAUAGAUUAUAGUCUUAAGUUUUCUAGAGAAGAAUGUGGGUGACCUCGUAUAGAGGUAUUGUGAGACUAUUUAGAAAUAGUCUAGAGAUGUGAUAGAGGUAUAGAAUCUGGUUAGACGAUCAAGUUGAGUGUAUAGGUUUAGAGAGAUUUUGAUUCUUAAGUCUAGACACUUGGAUUUCUAGUAUGUUGACUAAUUGAGAUGAUGAAUUGCGUGAAAGGUCAAGAUUAGACCUAGAUAGAAGAGUUUGAUAGUGAAUGAUUGAGUUGAGAAUGGUGAAAAUGCAGAGUUCAGAGUAUUCUGACUAUACUGCAUAGUUGAAAAUGGUCUAUUGUAUUGAUUUGGAUGCAUGGUUCAUAGUAUGUUGACCAUGUCAGAUAUUUGGAAGAGAUAUAUGGUGUUAGUGAGAUAUGAAGAGUUACUGUAAGAUAUGAGUUGUCUUGGAUUAGAAGAAGAGAUUUGUAGAUAGAGGUUGAUAGAUGAGAAGUGCAUGAUAGAGAGUAAGUGAAGUUGAGUCAGGUUAUUAGAAGUGAUAUUUGCGAGUAAGUUAGAACGUUAAUUCUCGACGAUGAUGUUUUAAGUUAAGCGAGACAAGGUGGGCCCAUAACCCACAGGGCGACAAGUCAGAAAAUAGAAGAUACGCUACGUGUUGUGCUAUGGACUUCAAAGGCAACUGGAUGAAACAUGAGAACGUGAACUACUUGGGCCAGACUUAUUAUGAACUAUAACGUCUACGAUGACAUCUUACGAGGCUAUUACGAGUCAACAUCGAUCGAUUAUCGAGAACGUUGAAAAGAAGACAUAUAUCGAACAAUGAUUUAUUGAAGCAGAGCGAAAAUCUGAGAAGACCUUGGCAAUACCUCUCUUCAACUAAGAUUCUUUUGUAUUGUUUUUCUCAUCAGUGAGAUAUUAUCAUGAUAUCUUUUCUACAAAAGUUUUGAUAAAUGAGAUCUUUAAUUUCUCAAAUUCUAAGAUGACAUUGAUAUUGAUUAUUGGUAUGAGUUGGAAAGCAAAGAUGUGUGACAAAGGCGUGUUUAUUAAGAGACAGUGGAAUCCCUUGAUAUUCUUUCAUAUUCUUUGAUAUCCCUUAAUAUUUGUUGAUAUUCUUUGACACUCUUUGAUAUUCCUUGAUAUCUUUUCAAUAUUUCUUAAUAUAUUCCUCGAUAAUCCUUAACAUUCUUUGAUGCUCCUUGAGAUUUCUUGGAUUCUUUCCAUCUGACUGGGAUGAACAACCCUAUGUAUAGGGGACACAAGGUAUACCUGUCUGUGUGAUAGGAGUUGGAUGGGACGCCAUCACUUGUGUGUGUUGUGAUUACAAGAAGGUUAACAACCUUUAGUAGUGUCUAAUAUGGACACGCAACAUUAAGUUCAAUUGAUCUUAUUGAUCUCCCAGUCACUUUUAUAUUCCAAUGUGACCUAUCUUGAAAACAUCUUGUUCCUCCAAAUUUUCCCAAAGAUUGAUUCUUGGGAAAUGAAUUUUGUAAUUGUGAAAGUUUGAUUUUCCUAUUUCUUUGAAGUCAAAGGUAUGCCAAGAUUGAUCAAAAGGCGGAUGACGAUAUGAUAUUACGAAGUGUGUACGUUUUAGUUUUCUUCGGGGGAUUCCGAGGACGGAAUCCUUAUAAGGGGGGUAGAAUGUAAUAUCCCAUAUUAUUAAAUUUAGAUGUGAUUAUUAUAAAUCUAUUUGUCUAAAUAUUAUUGUUGGCUUUAGUUGAAAAGCGAAUUGAUUAUGUGAAUAGUUUUAUAUGAUUAUACUUGUUCUGUGGAUUAAUAUGGAUUUUACAGAUUAUGCGUCCUCCUUCUUUCUCUGAUUCCGAGGACGGAAUCCCUAUAAGGAGGGUAGAUUGUAAUGACCCGGAUUUUUAAAAAUAUUUUUAUUAGUAUUAAAAGUGAUUUUCUUCAAAGAAGGGAAUAAGAUUUAAUAUUUUAUUCCAGUUUAAUGAGUUUUCAAAGUUUUAUAUUUAAACCCCGGGUUAUUGUGUUAUUGAUAAAUAAUUGUAUUUUCAAAACUGAUUUUCAUAUAUUGUUUUGAAAAUUCUGUAUGAAUAUUAUGUGAAUAUAUGUGUUAUGUGAUUAAGUGGUGUUGGUGGAAUUGAUUGUUAAUUAAUUGUGGUUAAUAACGGAUAUUAUAUGAUUAAUACAUGAAUUUUUGUGAAUAUUGUACUAUCUGGUUUAUUUAAUUGACCGCUCAUAUGUGCUCGGAUUUGAGAUAUUUCAAUUUCUAUAUGAUCAGGAUAAAAUGUAGUUUAUUUGGAUAUUUUGUAUCGAUUUAUGGAAUGUUAGAUGAUUUUAUAAUCGAUUUACAGAUUUAAUUGCGUAUAUUUGUAUUUAUUUAUUAAUUAUUUGAUCUUUUUGGAAACCGUCCACUCGUGACGGAGCAACGAUUUUAUUUCCGAAAGUUUCGAGAAAACUCACCUUUAGCCUAAUUUGAAUAUUCCGGACAUUUUUCGUGUUUUGACUUUUUCGAUCCGGAGUACGGUUUUCCCCGGAGUCGGUCCGGCGGAGUUUUUCGGGUAUUUUAAUUGUUGAUAAUUAUCCAGUUUGUCUCGAUAAACGUGAAACGAGAUAUUUUGAUUAUUAUAUUCAUCCUUAUCUUGUAAUAAUUGCAAUGGGACCCGCAGACCAAUAAUUGAGUUAAAAAGCCCCGUUUUGAUGAUUAUCUCGAAAACCAGUACCGAUUGGACCCCGCUUUAUUAAUAUAAAGCUAUUAAAUACGUAUUUUCAUGUCAUAAACGAUCCAAAGGGGUACCAAUUAUUUGUAAAUAUAAAUAGACCUUUCUAGAGCUUAUUUUCACCCGUAAAAUCAUUUCACCAGUUUCUUUGCACGAAUACCGAGAGAAACCGAGCGGUGUUCUUCGUGUUCUUCAUAAUCAAACGAGGAUUUGAAGGUGUUAUUGGAAUCCGAUGGAGGCGUAUGAAUAGUCAAAACGAAGCUAUCGACGCGUAGAAUCUAGUUUAAUCAUCCGUUUGUGUGCAGAUUCAACAGGUGAUUUUAGAUUAUUUUUAUAAAAUUCGAAUUAUUUGAUUUUUAAUUGAUAAAUUUUUGUAACUGAUCUUGUUUGAUUGAUUUGAUGAUGCCAUGUUGUAGAGCGUGUUUUUCUCGUCGUUUUGGUAUAUUAUAUGUUGAAUUUGGAGUUCGGAAUCAUAUAGAAACGUUAGGUUGAUUCUGAGAUUGUAUGUGCUUGAAUGUUCUUCGUUUGUUCUUGAAGCUUUUAAUUGAAAAUUCGAUUUCUGAGUUCGGUUAAGUCUAGGUGAGUUUUGAUGAUUGGAACAUGUUCGGUGGGUUGUGUAGAAUCGAUUGGUGUGAUCGGUUUUGAUGGAGGAGGUUUGUAGCAGCCUCGCCGGAGUUGAAGAACUUGGCGGCGGCGUGAUUUUUGUUUCGAAAAUACGGCCAAAUGGUCGUGCUUUUGAGCAAAUUGAUCUGUUCAUCAGCUUCCUGGUGGCUUAAGCUUGAGUUCUGGGUGAUUUGGGUAAAGAACGGAGGUGGAAGACGCCGUUUCCGGCGAAGUCGGGGGGAAGGCGGUGCAAAAGUGCCGUUUAGUACCCCCAACUUUUGGAAACGGUGAAGUCUUCGUACCCGAGUUUCAUAUUAAACGUUUUCGACCCUGAAACUUUUGAAUUUGACACAUUGCACCCCGAGUGCAAACUUUUAGAUUUUUACAGUUUAAACCUUUUACAAAAUAUUUUCAAAAAUGUUUUUAUUUAAUUAUUUUAAAUUUCAAAAAUAGUUUUUAAUUAUUUCUUUAUUCAAAAAUAAAUCUAAAUUAGUUUGUUAAUUAAUUUUAAUUAGUAAUUAAUUAUUUUAAUUAGUCAAUUAAUUUAAAUAUUAAUUGAUUAAUUAUUUUAAUUAAUUAUUAAUUGAUUUUAAUUGAUUAAUUAAUUGGAUUUAAUUAAUCCUUUUUGAUUUAAAAAUUCCGAAAAAUAGUUUCGAGCUUUAAAAUAUUUUUCCAAAUUAUUUUCAAGGCUCGAUAAUUGUUUAUGAAUGAUUUCAAGUCCAAUUUCAAGUAUUUGGGACUUGAUUAUUUAUUCGAAAAGUGAUUCUUUUAUCGAUUUUAAUUCCGAAAAAUGUGUGAAAAUUCUGGAAAAUUCCCGAAAAAUCAUUUUUAACCCAAGACUUGAUUUAAUAUCAAUUGGGAUGAGAAACCUUGUGUGUUGUGUGUUGUCUGCCAUUGGUUGGACGUGUUAUGUGCCGAUAGGAGAGUGAGAAAACUGUUUUGGUCAUAACUUUUGAUCCGUAAGUCGGAAUCAAGUGAAACGAAAGAGAGAGGAAAGCUUAUAAAGCCUAGUUUAAUAUAAUGAGAUAGUAUGAUCGAGUUUAGAAUGUGGUUAUAUGUUAUGUAAUAUGCAAUAUGUGUCAAUAUGUGACUUAUUUGCUAUAAAUUGAUGAUUACGUGAUAUACGUGCUUAUUCAUGAUAAAUGAUUUAUAUGACUGAUAUUGGAUAAGAACAUAUGGAUUAUAAGAAUUGGAAUUGAUUGAUGGGUUGUUGAACAAAAUAGGAUAACAGGUGGAUAGUCUUAUACAUAGACGAGACGCUGUCAAGUUAUCGAUUGGAUUUAUAUGAUAAUUGAUUUGUGAUAUGUUAUGUGAAAGAUGACUUGACUAUAUGAUAGAGUCAAAGCAUGAUUAUGUGUUAAGUGAUAUCUGAUAGUCGGAUUUUCGAUAAGGAUUUAUAUGAUAAUUGAUUUGUAACAUGUUAUGUGGAAUAUGACUUGACUAUAUGAUAGAGUCAAAGCAUGAUUAUGUGUUAAGUGAUAUCUGAUAGGUUUAAAGGGUUAUAUAAGUGGGUAUCGAUGUACGUGAGAUGUAUAUGCGAUCGAUUGUUUAGUGAUUAUAGUGUUAUCUUAUUCUCGUAAAGGAUUUGGACGAGACGUGUAUGCCCGAAGACGUUCAGAAAGUCACGUGGUGUUACAAAGCGAAUAAGGGAUGAAUCGAGUAAGCGAAGCGAAGUGGCGAAUAGAGUAUAGCUAGAGAUGGUCUAGAGAUUACGAGAUGCAUUGAUUGUGAAAGUUGAAAGAUGAGAUAGAGAUGUGAGACUGGAGUCAGAUUUAAGGCAAGUAUCCUGCACCCUGCUUUUGGAUAUAUUGCAAAUAUUCUGAUUCAUUCUUUUGAUGUGUUGCAAGUAUCCUAAACCUUUCUUUUGGAUAUCUUGCAAUUAUUCUGAUCCAUUCUUUUCGUAUGUGUUGCAAAUAUUCGUUCCUCUCUUUUUCAUAUUUGAAAGUGUAAAUAUUUUAUCCAUCCUUUUCUAAUCUUCAAAAAAAAAAAAAUUCAGAUAAUUCCAGUUUACAAAUUAAUUCGAAGUUCAGAUUGUCAUUGAAGCAUGUGUUGCUCAGUGAUGGUUAGGACCUAGAAUGACUUGGGAUCUUCUUGAUUAUUCAACCCGCCAUUGUCAUGCUGGUUUAGCAGGCUAAAUUCAGUUGCUUAGCCGAUAAUGGAGGAUACUGAAUAGUUAAGGAUUUCCUGAACUAUGAUUUAUGAAAGGAUGGAUCGUGGCUUAUGAAAAGAUGAAUUGAAAAUUAUUCUGUUGUUGAUGAUAUUUAUGAUGAUGUUCUGUUAAUUUACAUUGGCUUCUUGAAUUGAAUUAGAGAAUUGGAUUAUUGUUUUUAUAUAAACCUGUGGACCAGAUUCGUGGUCAUGUUAGGCCAAUGAGUGCCUUGGAUCCAGUGAUAGAGCAUGGCGGGGCCUGCUCGGGGUUAGUGCGGAACUGAUCAGCUGCCUAACCUUGGUUUUAAUUAAAAUGUGAUAGUCCAAUUCAAUAAUUCUUUGGAAAGAUUGAAUUUCUCAGUUUAAAUGCUGCAAGGUAUUGUAAAUCAUUCUAUACAAUACCAUGAACUCAUGAACUCAGGUUGAAUCCUCUUAUAUCUUGAACUCGUGAACUUCUGUUAUAUCAUUUCAGAACUAUCAUUGUUUAUUAUUACUUGCUGAGCAUUGUUGCUCACCCUUGCUAUUCCUUUCUAACCAUUUCAGAAAGGCUUAAAGAUGAGAUGAUUGAUUGAGAUUGUGAAUAAGGCUAAUGCUAGGCGAGGAGACAGAGUUGAGAAUCCAGUGGUCGAGGAGUGUUCAGGAAAGUUGAUGAGGUUGGUGCAAGCUAGAGUUGAGCUAUGGAAAUUCAGAUGUAAGUCAUAGCUGGAAUAGAUUGACAGUGAUUCUUCUUAUCGAAGAUGAUCUGAUUUGGUAAGAGAUGUUGUGUAAUAAUAGUGGUUGAUUCUAAUUUCAAUACUGUAACCUGGAAGCGAUCCUGUUGGUUUGGGGGUGAAGAUGUUCUCUUUUAAAUCUUUUAUUUAAC